UUAAUUGAAGCCAAAUAGAGGCAUAUCACUGUUAAUGGUAUCAAUGAAGAUAACUUCCAAUUAAG
rnacentral:tRNA from 1 species